rnacentral:misc_RNA from 1 species
GACACUUGCUAUUUGCGUAGAAAUGCUAUUUGCGUAGAAAAGUUGUGCAUCUCUCAUUGUUUGUUCAUGUAAAAAUCUAGGGUUAGGGUUUUCUAUUCGAAUCGGGCAAUUAUGAAGCAGUUGUUGUACACUCAUCAGAACCAUUCUCAGAGAAUGGCUUUUGCUGGUCUUCUCCUAAUUCUGCUUCCCAUUUUCUUCCCUCGCCUUUUCGGUCCACUGGGCCGAGCCUCGCCUGCUCUCUUCUCCGAAUGGAAUGCUCCAAAACCUAGACAUCUGCCACUUCUAAAAGCUGCUUUAACUCGCCAUAUU